AAAACAAAUUUCGGCUGCCAAAGAAACUUUGAAAAGGGGCACUGUUGAGACCCGAUUUAGUUUAGAUUGCUCAGACACUGUCAAACUGCAAAGGCAUACUUUACUGCCUUCAUUCUCAGACACAUUAUUGUCUAGAUUGCUCUGGCACUGUCAAACUGCAAAGGUAUAAUCUCACAGGCAUCUUUUAUAGAAGUACUCAUGGCAUGAUGGUGUAGGUUUCUCUGUCAGUUUGCAUUGCAUCAACAUAAAGUGAUGUACUGGCUUAUGAUUUUAGUUUCAUUAUUAGCAAGAACAUAGGAUUAAUACUGUUUAUGUGUGUUUAGAUGUUGGUAUCAUGUGGUGCUGUGUUGCUACUGAUGGUAGGCAAUUAAUCUUGCACGGGCAGUUUAUGAAGCAUUCUCCGAGAUUUGGCCAGCACAGCUUAUCCUUUUUACAGCAGAAUGGCUGGCCUAGGACCUGGUGCACGUCCUUGUAACAAGGAGGUCGGACUACGUGGCUUACUUUGAUCUUCCUGUUGAUCUCCUUGUUGCUUAUGCCUUCACAUAACAUGCAUAAAAGAAAGAAUUAAAAGACUUAUCCUCUCAACAUACAAAAGAAAAAGGGUAUAUAGCACAUAUCUGUACACCUAGAAUUUUGUUUUCUGGUUAAGAAAACCCAAUACAGUCAAUAACAAAACGACAUAAAAGAAAACAAAGCCAACAAUCUAUUCCUCAAUAAAACGAACUUUCAUUUGUUAAUUACCAUCUGUGUAUCCAAGAUGGGCAAAACACACCACUGGAAUUACAGAAAGUAUCACAAAUCCUUGGACACUGUUCCUCAUAUACUUGGCCAUCAUUGCUGAGGUAAUGUGGGGUACUCUUGUAAGUGGGACUGACGAGUGUAUGACCAUCAAAUGCUCCAUGGUUCAUAUAUAUAGGAAAAGCUUGUUGGCAUUCACACGGCAGUUAUAGAAAAUAUUAACGUUUGGAGGUAAGGCAUGUCUAAACAUCCAAUUUAAGUUACGCUACUAAAGAAUUUUUUUGAACGGUCACCGGGGGGGGAGAGGAUCCCCACCUGAAUGUAUUGCUCAAAAAGCUGCCAAAGCCAAGAGUCACCCCUUAACUUUGGCUGAUCCAGUUUAUAAGGGAAACCGGAUCGAAAACCUAAACAAGUUGACCCCGUUUAUGAGGGAAACCGAGCCGAAAAACCGCACAGGUAACAAGGUUACAGAAGAUGAGAAAAAAUGCCACCCAAGAGAAGGCUACUAAAGAUGGCUGAUGCGUUUUUCAUUUCUUUCAUGAAAACUGAUGUCUUAUCAUAAUGUCUAAGUUUAGUGACAUUUAAUUGAUAGCUAAAAACUACAGUUGCUGGGAAAAAAAAGAACAGAAAAGCGACAGCACACCACAUAAUUUUGGAACACCAGCCAAGGAACCACAGUAGAUUACCAUGGGGAGUUGGGAGCAUAGGUCACAGCUGCUGCAUAAACUAGCUCGCUAGAAAUGCAUCUCUUGUAUGAGUAAUUAACCUGGACAGAGCAAAAUACUAUGUACAAUUAGCAGAUAAUGCAAGCACAUGGCGAGGUUAACUUGUAAUUACCAAGUGACCACCCAAGAAAUAGCUACAGAUUCCAAGAAGAGUGAAAGAACUCACUGCAGCCAAAAGAGCAGACCCCAUGGCAGCUACAGAUGGCACAAAAUGGACUUUGCUUCUGAACCAUUCAGCUAUAGCCGGAA
rnacentral:lncRNA from 1 species